UCUUCCUUUACCCGCAAGCAUUCCCCAGCACCAUACACACGCCCUACAUACAUACACACAGGCAUCCACACCGAGCAUCACAAACCACAACACCCACGCACAGUAGCAGCAGCACCUCUGCUCUCCUCUCCCUAACCCCUGCGCGCACGGGCAUACAAGCACACCACACGGCAGCAGCAUUAGCGCCAUCUGGCUUUCUCCGCCGUGUCCUGCGCUGCCCAGCGGGCCUACGCCACUCGGUCGCGUUAGACUGGUGCGCCGUGCCACCGUGUCGUCAUUCCGCGCCAUCACGACGUAGCUCUGCCUGCAGCCCCUCGGCACCGCUCGCGCUGCGCUGCAAUGACCUCCGUGCUGUCCAACUACCAUGGUGUUAAGUCGCCUGCUUGUCCGCGCCGUGCCCCGCCGUGCGUGCCAUCGCCGCUCACGCCGCCGGCUCGAAGUCAAGGAUCUAAGCAAGAAUGCGAGGAAGGAACUGAAGGCGAGGCCCGAUGAUGAACCCCGGAUGACUCAAGCGACAAGACCAAUCUUGAAUUGACCUUCUUGAAGAUCGUUGAGAUAGAGAUCUACCUCAACACAGAUGAAGUUAAAAAGAAGAAGUCUAAUGUCGUGUCUGCACCCGAGUUGCCU